rnacentral:rRNA from 1 species
UACGUAGGGUGCGAGCGUUGUCCGGAAUUAUUGGGCGUAAAGAGCUUGUAGGUGGUUUGUCGCGUCUGCUGUGAAAAUCCGAGGCUCAACCUCGGACUUGCGGUGGGUACGGGCAGACUAGAGUGUGGUAGGGGGAGACUGGAAUUCCUGGUGUAGCGGUGAAAAUGCGCAGAUAUCAGGAGGAACACCGAUGCGAAAGGCAGGGUCUCUGGGGCCAACUACUGACCGUGAGAAGCGAAAAGCAUGGGGGGAGCGAAACAGGGAAUUAGAUUAC